UAGAAAUUAAAUAAAAAUUAAGCACAACAAAGCAGAGACUCCCCUCGUACCUUUUGCAUCAUGGUUUAGCUAGUCAAACCAAGCACAAAGAAUUUUAGUUUGACCUCCCGAAACUAGGUGAGCUACUUCAAAACAGCCUAUCAAGGGCCAACCCGUCUCUGUUGCAAAAGAGUGGGAAGAUUUUCAAGUAGAGGUGACAGACCUACCGAACCUAGAGAUAGCUGGUUAUUUAGUAAAAGGAUUUUAGUCCUACCUUAAGUUCUUCCUUUAUUAAUAAAACAACUCUGAACUUAAGAGCUAUUCAAACAAGGUACAGCCUGUUUGAAACAGGGAACAACCUCAAAAAUAGGGUAACUCUAAAUGACAGGUGUCCAAGUGGGCCUAAAAGCAGCCAACUUUAAAAAAGCGUUACAGCUUCCUCACCAGUCACUUUAAUACCAAAAACACUACAUAACCCUUACCCAGUACUAAAUAACUCUAUACCCCUAUAGAAAUUAUUAUGCUAAAACUAGUAACAUGAAGAAGCCCUUCUCCUAAAUGUACAUGUACGCCAAAAAGAACAAUUCAUUGGCAUUUAACGCUACUGACCCUAAAGCAACAACUAUACAAGAGAAUCUUGCUAACACCAACGUUAACCUAACACAAGAACAUUUCAGGAAAGAUUAAAAGAGGUGGAAGGAACUCGGCAAAUUUUAACCCCGCCUGUUUACC
rnacentral:rRNA from 1 species